AUACGAAGGUCCCAAGCGUUAUUCGGAAUCACUGGGCGUAAAGAGUACGUAGGCGGUUUGGUAAGUCAGGUGUGAAAUCCCGAAGCUCAACUUCGGAACUGCAUCCGAUACUGCCAGGCUAGAGUAAUGGAGAGGCAGGUGGAAUUCUCGGUGUAGCAGUGAAAUGCGUGGAUAUCGAGAGGAAGACCAAUGGCGAAGGCAGCCUGCUGGACAUUUACUGACGCUGAGGUACGAAGGCUAGGGGAGCGAAAGGGAUUAGAUACCCCAGUAGUCC
rnacentral:rRNA from 1 species